UACAGAGGUCCCAAGCGUUGUUCGGAUUCACUGGGCGUAAAGGGUGCGUAGGUGGCGAGGUAAGUCGGAUGUGAAAGCUCGGAGCUCAACUCCGAAAUGGCAUUGGAAACUACCUUGCUCGAGGGUUGGAGGGGGACUGGAAUUCUCGGUGUAGCAGUGAAAUGCGUAGAUAUCGAGAGGAACACCAGUGGCGAAGGCGGGUCUCUGGACAGUUCCUGACGCUGAGGCACGAAGGUCAGGGGAGCAAACGGG
rnacentral:rRNA from 1 species